CACAUUACUAUUCAAAGACAUUUAUAAAGGCAGCAAGGGGUGGCUAACAUUCCAAAAGUUCCAUAUAAUCAAUUCAGAUCCUUAAGACAAAAAGUACUGAAUAAUUGCACUUGUUGUCUUAUAUUAAUUGCAAGUCAUGGAGAUCAAAGCUAAACUUGCAACAAUAAAUUAUCAACUGUAAACUGGAGAUACGCCAAGCUAGUAAACCUAAAGCCUCAAAGGAGAAUCUGAUAGAUUGUGAUUUUAUCUGCCUCCUGCUCUUCCAAACAAAGUGAAUAAAGUAAUACAUCUGAAUGAUUUAUGUGGAACUAUGAAGGAAAUUUUUCAAGCAGAACUGCUGCCAUGACCAUAUGUGACAUUAUCAUACACUACCAGCACUGGUUGAAAAAAAUAUAAAGUAGAAUAUUUUGUAUAUUCAUAAAUCCAUCCUUAAUCCAAAACAAAAUAAGCAUAUACUCCCACUAUCCAUCAGAUCACAAAUAACGGCCAGCAGCUAUCUGCCAGACUAUCAAUAUUUCAAAUCUUAUGGUUGUAAGCAAUCUCCAAUUUCACCUAUAGAGGUAAACAAAUAUCCAUCAAAUGAGAGUGCAAGUCCAUUAGAAGAACAUUCGGAUAAUUUGAAGACACAGAAGCCUAAACUUUCAAACUGUAAAACAAACUUGUCACAGAUUUUUCUGAAAUAAAAUAACCAAUCUUUGAAUUAUCAUAGAAUUUCAAUUUAUUUUAAUUUGGGUUGCAUUGGUCAUAGUCAACAUGGAAGAAUUUGAAGGGCCUUGAAACUUGAAAGAUCAUUGCUCAACAACAUGAUAAAAUGGUUCUCCGUCUGAAAGUUUAUUUUUUUAUGAAAUAUCUAUAUUAUUUUGAUGAGUUCAAGGCAUUAUCUUCUGUUCUCCUGAGUCCUGAUUCUUAAAACCUUUUCCUUCCCUCUGACUUCUUUAUGCUAUGUACUUAUUUCACUUUCCAAAUAAAAUAAGUUGGUGAACUUCCUGAGUUUCCAAAUAAAAUAAUCAAGCCUGUUGCUUUAGACGUUUCAACCAUAACAAAUAUCUUACAUGUUAAAAUUGGACUUGACCAAUGUGAUAGAUGAGUUAUUUUUGCAUUAAAAUUCAAUUUCUGUAUCUCAUAGCUACAUAAAAAUAACCAGAUAUACAACACUGUAUAAUUAACAUAACUGAUAGAAAACCAGCCGAACAAUCGAGAUUCAUUCCUCUGUUGGAGAGCAUGCAUUUAACACAAUGAGCUGCUGUGCAAUGGCAUGCACUUGCCAGGCAGUGCCUGUAAUGCUAUGAUUGUGUCAGCUACGUGCCAACAACAAAAAUAUUGGCAUGAUCAAAGAUGCCAGCCAGUACAAGAUGUCAUGAUCAGCAUGGAUUAUACUUGUUUGAUCCCAGCAGUACACUUUAAAAAUAAGGAUCUAUGACAUGACAAGCACAGCUUCAAGAUCAAGCUGGAUGCAUGCUACAAAUCCAUUGAGGUCCUCAGACAUUU
rnacentral:lncRNA from 1 species